rnacentral:rRNA from 1 species
GACGAACCGUGCGAACGUUAUUCGGAAUCACUGGGCUUAAAGCGCGUGUAGGCGGGAUGGCACGUCGGUCGCUGAAAGCCCCCGGCUCAACCGGGGAAGUGGCGCCGAUAUGACCACCCUGGAGGGACGUAGGGGGACCUGGAACUUCCGGUGGAGCGGUGAAAUGCGUUGAGAUCGGAAGGAACGCCCGUGGCGAAAGCGAGGUCCUGGACGUUUACUGACGCUGAGACGCGAAAGCCAGGGGAGCGAACGGG